rnacentral:rRNA from 1 species
UACGUAGGGUGCGAGCGUUGUCCGGAAUUAUUGGGCGUAAAGAGCUCGUAGGCGGCUUGUCACGUCGGAUGUGAAAGCCCGGGGCUUAACUCCGGGUCUGCAUUCGAUACGGGCAGGCUAGAGUUCGGUAGGGGAGAUCGGAAUUCCUGGUGUAGCGGUGAAAUGCGCAGAUAUCAGGAGGAACACCGGUGGCGAAGGCGGAUCUCUGGGCCGAUACUGACGCUGAGGAGCGAAAGCGUGGGGAGCGAACAGG